CCUACGGGCGGCUGCAGUGGGGAAUAUUGGACAAUGGGGGCAACCCUGAUCCAGCCAUGCCGCGUGUGUGAAGAAGGCCCUCGGGUUGUAAAGCACUUUCAGUGAGGAAGAACGCCUGGUGGUUAAUACCCAUCAGGAAAGACAUCACUCACAGAAGAAGCACCGGCUAACUCCGUGCCAGCAGCCGCGGUAAUACGGAGGGUGCGAGCGUUAAUCGGAAUUACUGGGCGUAAAGCGCGCGUAGGUGGCUUGAUAAGCCGGUUGUGAAAGCCCCGGGCUCAACCUGGGAACGGCAUCCGGAACUGUCAAGCUAGAGUGCAGGAGAGGAAGGUAGAAUUCCCGGUGUAGCGGUGAAAUGCGUAGAGAUCGGGAGGAAUACCAGUGGCGAAGGCGGCCUUCUGGACUGACACUGACACUGAGGUGCGAAAGCGUGGGUAGCAAACAGGAUUAGAUACCCGUGUAGUA
rnacentral:rRNA from 1 species